rnacentral:rRNA from 1 species
AUUGAACGCUGGCGGCAUGCUUUACACAUGCAAGUCGAACGGUAACAGGCCUUCGGGCGCUGACGAGUGGCGAACGGGUGAGUAAUGCAUCGGAACGUGCCCAGUCGUGGGGGAUAACGCAGCGAAAGCUGUGCUAAUACCGCAUGCGAUCUAUGGAUGAAAGCGGGGGACCGUAAGGCCUCGCGCGAUUGGAGCGGCCGAUGUCAGAUUAGGUAGUUGGUGGGGUAAAGGCUCACCAAGCAAACGAUCUGUAGCUGGUCUGAGAGGACGACCAGCCACACUGGGACUGAGACACGGCCCAGACUCCUACGGGAGGCAGCAGUGGGGAAUUUUGGACAAUGGGCGCAAGCCUGAUCCAGCAAUGCCGCGUGCAGGAAGAAGGCCUUCGGGUUGUAAACUGCUUUUGUACGGAACGAAAAGGUCUGGGUUAAUACCCUGGGCUCAUGACGGUACCGUAAGAAUAAGCACCGGCUAACUACGUGCCAGCAGCCGCCGUAAUAC